AAGAAAGCCAUACUGGGUAUGAGGUCGGCUUGAAACUGAUUUUGAGGGGUUCAAUUCCUCUCUUUCUUG
rnacentral:tRNA from 1 species